AUGAAUCUUCCCUGCAUUUAUUUGUACACCAACCCACAGGCUUUAAGAUGUGAUCUUGCAAAGGGCUCAACAUCCGCAUGUAUUUCAACUGAAGUUUCACAUGAUCAGCAAGUCCCCUCUCUUUCAUACUGUCGGUGUUGUCUGAGAAUCGUCUUGACUCCAGAGGCCUGUAGAUGGCAAUCUUGCGCUGCAUUGGAGAAGCAAUUCCCAAUAUCCUGCACAGCUCCUGCCACAGAUCCAGAUUUAACCCUUAUCUAGUUUUUAAUGAAAGUUAGACAAAUGCUCUGGACAUGAGAAAUCCAACCCAGUUAUCAAGCUCCAAGGGAGACAAAGGCAGGAUGCUUUUCUUACCCUAAGACGGACUGAAGCACUGCUGACUGAAAGCUUUUUUGGAAGCCAUACAAUGAAUCAUUCCAAUGCGCAUCUCAAUCGAAGGGAAAAGAUCUAACAAAUCUAACUAGGCAAUUUUUCAUUAAAGUGUUAGUGAAGCUUGACGUUCUUAGUCUCAUUACUUCUACAACAGAAGUUCUGCUUCUGGCUUAAAGUGCCUUUUAAAGGAGAGCUCAACAGCCAAUUCCAAAUAAAUGUACUGGGAAAUAUGCUUUUUUUAGAAACCCAAAUCUGCAGUCAUCUUUUGUGUGAUUUUUUUUUUUCCUCCUGUUAAGAAAUGAGCAAAAGAAAAUACUGAUUUGGGCAGUUAGGCUCUACCUUGUGUGCUAGAGCACUCAGUUUGGUAUGCUAUACAACUUAAAGCUAUAACAAUUAUUAACUGAGUAUUACGUACUAGCUGUGCUUUAAUGAAUAAUCACUUUUUCUCCUUAUGGACUAGAUCUGAGCCCUGCGAAGACGGUACAAAGUGCUUUCACCAGAAACUUAGGUCUGAGUUGUGUUUCAGACCUGAGAGCUAUUUAACUGUUAGAGUUAACUAUGAUGGUGUCUUCCCAGAAAAAAAAAAAAAAGAAAAAAAAAAAAGAAAGAGAAGGUAGAAGCUUGAACUGAGCUUAAACUCAGAAGAACUGAUUUAAGUUGUGCUUACUGGUUGAUUGCUCAGACCAUGAAGUUAUUAUUGAAGGGGAUUCCAGGGGCUGGAUUUCACUGCCAGCUGCAGUCAUUGCAUUUCAAUGACAGUGAAUUCUGCAGUGUUUGAGUGGGGCAUUCAAGCAUCUUUAUGUGGUUGAGCUCCUGAAGACAAUUUGGCAGAGAUUCUCUCACUCAAAUCCUAACUAUGUAUCAGUAAUAACUUCACUCUGGGGCAGUCUUGGGCAUCUGAGAGUGAUACAGAAGCACUAAUGAGUUUAGUUGCCCUCUGAUCAGAAGAAGUAAGUCUUUUGUUAGAUCUGGUCA
rnacentral:lncRNA from 1 species